rnacentral:pre_miRNA from 1 species
UACCUUCCCAGGCUGGCCAGCCCCCAGGCUGGGCUGGAAGAGUAUAUCUUCCAAGAGCUCACCCUCAAGCACGACUAGGAGC